UCCAAACUGUCCGUCUUGUAUGAAAUUUUUUUAUAAUUCGUAUUUUUAUUGUUGUUAUAUGAUAAAACAUGAUUAAUAUUUUAUGCGUGACUUGUCUUUUUAAUUUUUUUCAUAAUUUUUGUAAAUAAGACGGAUGUUCAAACGUUGGGCACGGAAACC
rnacentral:pre_miRNA from 1 species